rnacentral:miRNA from 1 species
UCUUCAUUCCACGUACUGUCU